rnacentral:lncRNA from 12 species
CGGGAGGGACCAAGUGAGCGCUGGUGCCAGCCUGGGCCAGCAGGCAGUCAUUCGGCUGUGAAAAGCCUUUCUGCUGCGGCUGGGAAGCGCCCCGACCUCAGCACAGCCACCGAGCCUGUGAUCUGCACAUCCUGUCCCAAGGGAAUGCUCAGCCCCACGUUCUCCCCGUCACAGACACCGUAAGAUACUGGAGAAUCUUUUUAGUCAUGCAAGGUAUGAAAUACUACUCACUGUUGCUAGACAUUGCAAAGGUUUUAAAUUAUCAAUUCUCACGAAAUCUCUGCAGUGGGA